rnacentral:rRNA from 1 species
UACGGGGGGGGCAAGCGUUGUUCGGAAUUACUGGGCGUAAAGGGCGCGUAGGCGGUCGUGACAAGUCACUUGUGAAAUCUCCGGGCUUAACUCGGAAAGGUCAAGUGAUACUGUCGGACUAGAGUACAGAAGGGGCAACUGGAAUUCUCGGUGUAGCGGUGAAAUGCGUAGAUAUCGAGAGGAACACCUGCGGCGAAGGCGGGUUGCUGGGCUGAUACUGACGCUGAGGCGCGAAAGCUAGGGGAGCGAACGGG